rnacentral:rRNA from 1 species
AGAGUUUGAUCCUGGCUCAGAUUGAACGCUGGCGGCAGGCCUAACACAUGCAAGUCGAACGGUAACAGAAAGCAGCUUGCUGCUUUGCUGACGAGUGGCGGACGGGUGAGUAAUGUCUGGGAAACUGCCUGAUGGAGGGGGAUAACUACUGAAAACGGUAGCUAAUACCGCAUAACGUCGCAAGACCAAAGAGGGGGACCUUCGGGCCUCUUGCCAUCGGAUGUGCCCAGAUGGGAUUAGCUUGUUGGUGGGGUAACGGCUCACCAAGGCGACGAUCCCUAGCUGGUCUGAGAGGAUGACCAGCCACACUGGAACUGAGACACGGUCCAGACUCCUACGGGAGGCAGCAGUGGGGAAUAUUGCACAAUGGGCGCAAGCCUGAUGCAGCCAUGCCGCGUGUAUGAAGAAGGCCUUCGGGUUGUAAAGUACUUUCAGCGGGGAGGAAGGGAGUAAAGUUAAUACCUUUGCUCAUUGACGUUACCCGCAGAAGAAGCACCGGCUAACUCCGUGCCAGCAGCCGCGGUAAUACGGAGGGUGCAAGCGUUAAUCGGAAUUACUGGGCGUAAAGCGCACGCAGGCGGUUUGUUAAGUCAGAUGUGAAAUCCCCGGGCUCAACCUGGGAACUGCAUCUGAUACUGGCAAGCUUGAGUCUCGUAGAGGGGGGUAGAAUUCCAGGUGUAGCGGUGAAAUGCGUAGAGAUCUGGAGGAAUACCGGUGGCGAAGGCGGCCCCCUGGACGAAGACUGACGCUCAGGUGCGAAAGCGUGGGGAGCAAACAGGAUUAGAUACCCUGGUAGUCCACGCCGUAAACGAUGUCGACUUGGAGGUUGUGCCCUUGAGGCGUGGCUUCCGGAGCUAACGCGUUAAGUCGACCGCCUGGGGAGUACGGCCGCAAGGUUAAAACUCAAAUGAAUUGACGGGGGCCCGCACAAGCGGUGGAGCAUGUGGUUUAAUUCGAUGCAACGCGAAGAACCUUACCUGGUCUUGACAUCCACAGAACUUUCCAGAGAUGGAUUGGUGCCUUCGGGAACUGUGAGACAGGUGCUGCAUGGCUGUCGUCAGCUCGUGUUGUGAAAUGUUGGGUUAAGUCCCGCAACGAGCGCAACCCUUAUCCUUUGUUGCCAGCGGUCCGGCCGGGAACUCAAAGGAGACUGCCAGUGAUAAACUGGAGGAAGGUGGGGAUGACGUCAAGUCAUCAUAGCCCUUACGACCAGGGCUACACACGUGCUACAAUGGCGCAUACAAAGAGAAGCGACCUCGCGAGAGCAAGCGGACCUCAUAAAGUGCGUCGUAGUCCGGAUUGGAGUCUGCAACUCGACUCCAUGAAGUCGGAAUCGCUAGUAAUCGUGGAUCAGAAUGCCACGGUGAAUACGUUCCCGGGCCUUGCACACACCGCCCGUCA